GUUUCCGUGGUGCAGCGGUUACCACAUCCGCCUAACACGCGGAAGAUCCCCGGUUCGAUCCCGGGCGGAAACA